AACCACUCAAUCUGAGUCCUUUUAGCGAGUUCUGGCGUUACCUUCUCGCAAACUUUGC
rnacentral:sRNA from 1 species